GACGAACGCUGGCGGCGUGCCUAAUACAUGCAAGUUGAGCGAUGAAGAUUGGUGCUUGCACCAAUUUGAAGAGCAGCGAACGGGUGAGUAACGCGUGGGGAAUCUGCCUUUGAGCGGGGGACAACAUUUGGAAACGAAUGCUAAUACCGCAUAACAACUUUAAACAUAAGUUUUAAGUUUGAAAGAUGCAAUUGCAUCACUCAAAGAUGAUCCCGCGUUGUAUUAGCUAGUUGGUGAGGUAAAGGCUCACCAAGGCGAUGAUACAUAGCCGACCUGAGAGGGUGAUCGGCCACAUUGGGACUGGGACACGGCCCAAACUCCUACGGGAGGCAGCAGUAGGGAAUCUUCGGCAAUGGACGAAAGUCUGACCGAGCAACGCCGCGUGAGUGCAGAAGGUUUUCGGAUCGUAAAACUCUGUUGGUAGAGAAGAACGUUGGUGAGAGUGGAAAGCUCAUCAAGUGACGGUAACUACCCAGAAAGGGACGGCUAACUACGUG
rnacentral:rRNA from 1 species